AGAGUUUGAUCCUGGCUCAGAGCGAACGCUGGCGGCGUACUUAACACAUGCAAGUCGAACGAGGAUCAUCCGUGUAGCAAUACAUUGGUGGUCCUAGUGGCGCACGGGUGAGUAACACGUGGGUGACCUGCCCUAGAGCUCGGGAUACCCCCUCGAAAGGGGGGCUAAUACCGGAUACGUUCCUCGGUCGAAAGAUCGGGGAGGAAAGGUGGCGCAAGCUGCCGCUCUUGGAGGGGCUCGCGGCCUAUCAGCUAGUUGGCGGGGUAACGGCCCACCAAGGCUAUGACGGGUAGCUGGUCUGAGAGGACGACCAGCCACACGGGGACUGAGACACGGCCCCGACUCCUACGGGAGGCAGCAGUGGGGAAUUUUCCGCAAUGGGCGAAAGCCUGACGGAGUGACGCCGCGUGUGGGACGAAGGCCUUCGGGUCGUAAACCACUGUCAGUGGGAAAGAUGGGUGUCGGGGCUAAUACCUCCGGCAUCUGACGGUACCUGCAGAGGAAGCCCCGGCCAACUCUGUGCCAGCAGCCGCGGUAAGACAGAGGGGGCAAGCGUUGCUCGGAAUUACUGGGCGUAAAGGGCGCGUAGGCGGGAUGGCAAGUCGGUCGUGAAAUCCCUCGGCUCAACCGAGGAACGUCGAUCGAUACUGCUGUUCUUGAGGAUUGCAGAGGAGACUGGAAUUCCCGGUGUAGCGGUGAAAUGUGUAGAGAUCGGGAGGAACACCGGUGGCGAAGGCGGGUCUCUGGGCAAUUCCUGACGCUGAGGCGCGAAAGCGUGGGGAGCAAACGGGAUUAGAUACCCCGGUAGUCCACGCUGUAAACGAUGACGACUAGGUGUGGGGGGGUUCAGUCCCUUCCGUGCCGCAGCUAACGCAUUAAGUCGUCCGCCUGGGGAGUACGGCCGCAAGGUUGAAACUCAAAGGAAUUGACGG
rnacentral:rRNA from 1 species